AACCCGGUUCACCAGAUUACGAGUCCACCGCUCUUAAACACUACACCAUGCUGGCUCCCAAAACCAGUGUGAAACCAGUUUUGGGGGAAGUCUCUCAUGUGUGUGGUGGGACCGUUUCAGUGAGUUGCCUCUGUGGCUAUUGCCCUGCUCCUCACGUGAGUACAACCUAGCCCUUUUUUGUUUCUGGUGACCCUAACAAGUGUGCAGAACAAUAGAAGAAUGGCAGAUGAAGAUGAUGGAUUUUUUCAGAGCUAGCCAACCUAACUGGAAGAGUCCGCGACCAUAAGGAGGAGGAGUAUCAGGAAGAAUGGAAUAAAUUUAAUGAUUAUUUAGUUAAAUUUGUUAAGUUAAAUUAACUGGAAAUAGCCUGCAGAUACUUAAUGGGCUUAGGAUUUUAUUUAUGUUAAGUGAUGAACUAAUAUGUCUAAUUCUAUAAGGUGAAGAUUUAAGGAUGUUAAUGUUUAAGUUAAAUUUCAUAAACAUUGGGAUUUGGAAAACCAUUAAAAGGACAUGCAAUGAAAUUCAACUAAGGGGAAACGAGGAAGUCACUUAACAAAGUUAAUAACUGUAAUUUUCAAUAAGGCUAUGAUUUAUGUUUGUUUUGUUUGUUUGUCUUGUGUGUUUGUUUGUUUUUUAUAAUAUUGUGAAAACCAAUAUAAUUUUUUUGGGGGGUGGGAACAAGUGUGCAGAAGGCAUUCUGGAAUUUCAGCAGCCCAGUUCAGAGGACCUAAUCUUUAAACAUGUGCAGGAUUACCCUGAAGACUGUAAUCACAGAAGAUACAUCAGGUUUUUAUCAGAAGUUCAGUACAGCUAAAUAUCAGUCUUGUGCAAAACUUCUGUAUUUUUUAAUAUAUUUUAAAAAACAAACAAACCACCAGAUAAAAAUGGAUGCUGCCCACCUUUC